GGGUUGCAUGGUAAGGAGCACAGCCAGAGCCAGCCUCGAGAGAGCCCAGGGAGGGUUCUGCACACCUGGUUUGGGAAGGAGCAUGGAGGAAACCCUGACCUUGAAGAAGGAGAGGAAAAGACUGGGGCAUAGCCCCCUUGUGUUAGGCAGGAGGGGAGAGACAGAAUGAGAGAGAGAAGAGGAGGGAGUGAAGAAAGCCUGGAGGGCAGCACUGGCUUCCUGGGCCUGCAAGGUUCUGUGAUGAAAAUUGAGAUGGCAGAUCCAGUUGUCAAGCUGCUUGGAUGUGCUGCACUCAGGUCUGAACUCCUGUGAAAAUCUGAUCGUGUCUGGGUGAGGAGCCCUUCUCCCAAGCUCCUGUAGCAGCUUAUGUGUUUCCCGUGAACCCACCAUACCUCUUUCCUACCACACCAUGAUCGCCCAUUUACUCAUUUCUAGAAUCUUCCUGAUUACAAAGGAGGCUCUGGGAGGUCAGGGACUGUAUCUGCCCAGAUCACCAUUUUAUUUCCCUUGCUUAGCUCAUUGCCUGGAAGAUAAUAGGUGUUCAAUAUUUACUGAAUAAAUAAAUGAA